UACGUAGGUGACCAGCGUUGUCCGGAUUUACUGGGCGUAAAGAGCGCGCAGGCGGUCGUUCAAGUCGAGUGUGAAAGCCCCCGGCUCAACUGGGGAGGGUCAUUCGAUACUGAUCGACUUGAAGGCAGGAGAGGGAAGCGGAAUUCCCGGUGUAGUGGUGAAAUGCGUAGAUAUCGGGAGGAACACCAGUGGCGAAGGCGGCUUCCUGGCCUGUUCUUGACGCUGAGGCGCGAAAGCGUGGGGAGCAAACAGG
rnacentral:rRNA from 1 species